ACGCUCGACACCUACGGGAGGCAGCAGUGGGGAAUAUUGCACAAUGGGCGAAAGCCUGAUGCAGCAACGCCGCGUGAGCGAAGAAGGCCUUGGUCGUAAAGCUCUGUCCUCAAGGAAGAUAAUGACGGUACUUGAGGAGGAAGCCCCGGCUAACUACGUGCAAGCAGCCGCGGUAAUCUGAGCGGGCUGGCAAGGC
rnacentral:rRNA from 1 species